UGGAGGAUGAGUUUAGGAGGAGGUGGAGGAGAAGGAAGUGCAAGGGAGAAGUGGAGUGUGAGAGUGAGGGCGGACGAGGUGGUGUCACUCGCCUAACGUGCAAAAAAAUCAUCUCGCCGUAAGGGAUCACUUAUCAGUCUUAAUCCCAGAUGGUGACUGAGGACACAGGCCCUGGAUUUUGUGUAGCGAGUGUUUGCGUUGAACGGCUCUAAUGUUUAAUUAACAUGAAGGUGUGGGUCAGUGUGGUGGGCAGUGCGGCAUCCCUGUUCAAUGUGGUCUCGACGUGUCGUCCUGGUGGUGGUGGUGGUGGUGCUAGAAGCACUUGGCCAGCUGGGGGCAGUACGGCUUGUCACAGGAAGGUUUGCAUGGCUCCCGGGCUUCCAGUGCUUUGAAGAGCAAGGGCUUCUUGCAAAACGUGCAUUGCUGUAGAAGAAAUGCCAUGUUAGGGACAAAGAUCUAGUGAACAUGAAAAUAUGAGUGAGGAAAAAUGACUGACUGACAUCACUCGCAGUUCAUUCCAAUACCUCAGGACAAGUGGUGUUCCCAAGCGGCAUGUUGAGUUCCUUCCACACCACCAGCAGGUCCUGCACAAACUUCUCC